GAAAUAUAAGCCUACUCCUAAG
rnacentral:piRNA from 1 species